CUUGGUCACCGUUUAAUCUCGGUUCUGACUUUGUAAGGACGUUUUCGACAUCUGAUUCAAAAGGAGUUAAUGGGCGGGCCUUGAGGAAUCAGAAUUAAAGAUUGAAUCAUUCCAUACCUUUUGCUACCGUAGAUGCCGAGGAGCAAU